rnacentral:lncRNA from 1 species
AUGGACAUGCCCUUCUGUAGCCAACCCCUUAUAAUGACCACAGAUGAGGGCCUGAGGCUCUUAGGCUCAUCCAAGCCUGUGAAGCAUUUGCUGACUUUUUUCCAUCUGCAACUUUUGCUCUUUUUCUUCCUUUUGAUGGAGGAUGACUGUGGCUGGGUUCUCCUUAUUCCUCAUGGUGGAGAGGAGCUUCCUUCACCUAAACAGCUGGGCUGUAAAUCACCAGGGAUGCUGAGAUGUGGCAGUGGUUUGACACUGGGAAACAAGAAGCAUCAGAGAACUCGUGGGAUUUUUUCACAAAAGAGUUGGAGUUUGCUUUCUCAGCCAAUGUGUUUUCCUACUGCACAAAACCUCUCACUUUAACUGGCCCCCAGAUGCAGCUUUUCUUCUUUUUACAAACUGUAGUGGAGGAUGAUGUUGUCACAGGCCCCAUCUCUGAUAUAUGUCACAGAUUUCAAAGCACUUUAUGAAUCAGAUGAGUAGCUUUCUUCCAAUUUUGCAAUUAGUGAAAGAGUAACAAGAUGAGCUCCUCGUUUCCCUUCCCUGCACCACUUGCAAUGAAUCCAGGUCUUCAGUGAUUCUAUUCAAGCUCCCUCUAGGACAGCUGGAGCAAGCCAAGAAUGAGUGCUGUAAAAUGAUCUGCUUUCAAGCACCUUUGGAGCUUUUUUAUUUCCCAAAUAUAAAUUUCUGUUUCCUCACCAUCAAAAAAUAAAUAAAAUAGCAGAGUCA